rnacentral:rRNA from 1 species
UACGAAGGGGGCUAGCGUUGCUCGGAAUCACUGGGCGUAAAGGGUGCGUAGGCGGGUCUUUAAGUCAGGGGGGAAAUCCUGGAGCUCAACUCCAGAACUGCCUUUGAUACUGAGGAUCUUGAGUUCGGGAGAGGUGAGUGGAACUGCGAGUGUAGAGGUGAAAUUCGUAGAUAUUCGCAAGAACACCAGUGGCGAAGGCGGCUCACUGGCCCGAUACUGACGCUGAGGCGCGAAAGCGUGGGGAGCAAACAGG